GUGACACUGAUCAGGCGGAUUGCUGCCUCCGUCUUUAGCGCUUCACAGAGGAGGAGGAUGCCCUGAGAUCUCCCUCAGGCCCUCACUGGCACCUGGAUGUGAGUGAAGCGGGUGGGAAGAGGGAGUGAACGACGGUGGAUAAUGACAUGAUGGAUCCGGCUGUAGAGCCAGCACAGGAGGGCUCCGGGCGUCUUUACUGACCGGUGCUGAAGAGGAAAUCACUGGACUUUGUGUGUGGAGCCGCUCGUGAUAUUGGACCGACCACAGCAAUUAAGAAGAAACCGUUUCUCAAACAGGUUGCUCAUAUUUCGUUCAGUCUGAAAGGUGGCUUUGCAGCACAGUCCAGGAUGUUGCCUUCCAGCUGGUGACUUCUACAGAUCAGUAGUUCCAGUGAGAGGUGGAUUUGAGGGCAAUGCUCCACAGGACUGUCAUGGUUUGCUACCUUCCCACACUCCUCCAUCUCUGCAUCUAAUGGUUUGAUGGAGAGCUGGUCGGAUGUCAGCGGGAACUAUUGUCAUAACCGGAGGAAUUCUUGCUGGAGUGAUACUGCUGUGCAUUGUAGCAGUGCUCUGUUACUGUAGACUCCAGUAUUACUGCUGUAGGAAGAAUGACUCUGAGGUGGACAUGGGCUCUGGGAGAGGAGCGGACCCUCUCUCUCACUUUCCGUGCAAUACCUGCAACGCCCUUGCCAUGGACGGCAGAGCCAUCACCCCAAUCUCACUGGAUCAGCUGGACACAGGUUCUCACCACAACCGCUGCCCCACCUGUUCGCCCUAUCCCCACCGUUCUGGACAUGCAGACGAUAUGUGUAACGGAGGGGAGCGACUGGGCUUCCACACCUACUACAAGAACCAAUCUGUCUCUCUACCCUUGUCUGCCAACCCACAGGGCUCCUCUGCUUUGAGUUACUACAGUCCCACGGACAUGUUUCCUCCGCUGCUGCGGUCCUACAGCACCCAGGUCUGAUCUCUACUGCACCAUGAAGACACACACAAACAUACAGAAAACGUUUACUGAUAUUCAUAUACACAUCUGUCACUUACACAUCCAGCACAAGCCUUUUUGUUUGAAACUUAGUUCAGGGGAUGGAUUACAGCGCAAUUAGUCUCACGUACCACAUUACUGAAAAUGCACCCUUCAGCCAGCCGCCACAGUUUUACCCAGACUCAUUCAUCCAGGGGAGUGACCCAUAAACUGAGCCCACUGACAGAGCCCAUGUCUGGGCAGCACAUUCACUGAGCAGCCGCUGUGGAGCUUCAGACAGCAGCAUACAACAGUUUGUGUCACACAGAAGUGCUGCUAAAAUGCAUUUUGGUCAUUGGAUCAUAUAUGUGAUCCAAUCUAAAUGAAGGUGGGUUGAUAAAGUCAGAGACACAAAACAACACAUGUAGUAUAAUGUCAACAUAAAGCAGCCACUGAAACACAGCUAAAUCAUUUUUCCUAUUUAGGUGCAAGGGAUUCACAUUAUAAGCAAAUAUCAACUAUACAUUAACCAGUAAAAGCAUAUGAAAUACGAAAUGCUUUUUCCCAUGAAAAGUAGUUUUAAACAACUCAUGUGCUCUGGUUUUGCAUUAACACAAAUAAUAUAGAUAUUUGAAUCAUAAAUGCAAAAUUGUUGGUCAGAAAAAAAUAAGGUCAAUUUUGCCUUGGUUUGUAUUUUUGAAUAAUUUCUAAGCAGUUUCCCAUGAAGCUUUCUAUACGCAACUACUUUGGACACACUUUCCCAUUCAGUUCAUUGGGGAUGUGUAGUUUUAACCAAAGGAAACAUUCAGUUGAAAGAAAUACUCAGUUUAAACCCAAAUAAAUCAUUAAUAAUCAUUUAUUUUUGGAAACAUUCUCCUCCGUUUGCAGUAUAUUGAACUGUAUUGUUUGCGUGCCUGGUCUUACAUGUUCAGCUGACGUGCUAACACAGACUGAAAAGCUUAAUUAGAGGUGAAAUUUAGCACAGUCAAAUUACUUUUUUAUAAUUAGUUCCAAAUAGGGAACAUAUUAGGCAAUUCUUUUAAAAGUAUAGCCUCAGAAACCAAAUAAUCAUUUAUCGCACUUGCUUCACUUGCUGUUAUCCAUAAAUAGCAGAUCAAUAUUCAGAAAAUAACACACGAUACUUACACAAUACAAACUGUCGAUCAUUAAUUAUUACUGGGUUUAGUAUGAGAAACCUUCAAAACACAGUGGAAUAAUAACACCUUAGAUUAGAUUUAAGUCUGAAUACCCAAGGCACGUUCCAAAUAGAAAUCCUUUUUUCUUACUAUCUGUAUUUUUUGUCACUUAUUGUAGCACCAAUGAAGUCAAAUGUGAAGUGUGAGGUGAAAGUUAAACACAUUGCGGUGGCAGGUGUGAGCUGUAGUCCAUCGCAGCUUGAUCUUAACACCACGAUACGUCUGGUUACAAAAUGCUGAACCUCCACUGUCACCACUUUAGUCUCG